UACAACUUUCAACAAUGGAUCUCUUGGCUCUGGCAUCGAUGAAGAACGCAGCGAAAUGCGAUAAGUAGUGUGAAUUGCAGAAUUCAGUGAAUCAUCGAAUCUUUGAACGCACAUU
rnacentral:rRNA from 7 species